UUAAUCUCAGUCUCAUUCCCUCUUGUCUCCUCUCCACUGCCACUGCCUUUUCUCUCUCCUCACGAAGGCUCUCCAAUCUCCAUCCCACCCAUGGAGCCACCUCCCCCCAAGGCCCCGCCCCCUUCCCCCGCCGUCGGAUUCAACCGCCUCCUCCCCACACUCUUCCUACGCCAACAAUUGGGACCCGAACCUCCCCGCCGCCGACCACGGCAUGCCAUCGAAGCUACGGCUAAUGUGCAGCUAUGGCAGCCAUAUCAUCCCCAGGCCCCACGACAAUUCCCUCUGUUACGUUGGCGGAGAGACCCGCAUCAUGGUCAUCCCCAGACCCACAUCGUCGGCGACGAGACCCGGCCCUUCACCCUCAAGUACCAGCUCCCCAAUGAGGACCUCAACUCCCUCAUCACCGUCUCUGCUGACGAGGACCUCGACAACAUGAUCGACGACCACAACCGUAUUAUACAUUGAAAGGGCAAUUUAGUCUUCAAAAUUUAAUUUUAUCCCAUUCUUUAUCUAUUUCGAGGUGAGACCAAACAAAAAAAAAUUGAUCCACAUUCACAAUUCUAAUCCCUUCAAAGUCAAAUUCCCUCCUUAUUCUAAUCCCCUCAAUUCCUAUCCUACCAACCAAAAGCCACGGUGGUUUCCUUAACAAUUGUCUUAUAGGUUUCCCGAUCAAGGAGAAGUCAAGAGCUCAAGAAGGUGGUCCAUCCCCAAUCCUUGGAGCUCCCAUUCAAGCACGAUUCGCCCUCCUAGGUGCCACCUUCACCGACCCCCUCUUGAAGGAUUCCCGAAGUUCUCCCGCGUUUCUGAACUUACGAUUUAGGUAUAACUUCUAAACUUGGUUCAUAAUAUGAGUAAAACGAUUUAUAGGAAUUGGACACUCCAUGAACACCUAAAAUAAAAUCAUGUGGCUAAUAAUCGGGUUUAGGAUGUUAGAUUACAGGUAGAUAGGCCUCUGUGAGGUGUUUGUACAUGUUUUGUGUGUGUUAUGCUUGAUUUUUAGUGUAGAAAAGCCGAGAGAUGGGGAAAGGAGAGUAGGUUAACAUGCAUAAUCACUAGAGCCGACCUUUAGGACCGAUAAAAGUUCAUCCAUUUUGCGCUUGUGUGUUUCAGUGCCUUGAAAUUCUUUUUUUCCAAACUUUUUCAUGUUUUCACUUCAGUCCAAAUCGGUUUUCUGAACCUCAUCCGUUUCCAAACUCAGCUGAAAUUUUUUCCCGCGUCUUCCUAUGAGCUGUUAAGGCUACGCACUCAGUUUCAGUGAUUUAUGGGCGCUGACACUCAUUUUAUGGCCUUUUUCCGAACUUUACAGACUGUUACAAAUCAGUCCAGAGGCAUGCUUCAAACUUUUCUAAGUUUCCAAAUCAGCCCAAAUGGUUAAAAACAUGUUUUUCCAUCCGGAAAACCCGAUUCCCACUCGUUUUUAGCUCAGGCCGUGCCUUUUCCUGACUUUACAGAUUGGCCCCUGAAUGUUCCAGAACUAUAGAAUGACACCAGAACGAUUGGGACAUGCUUAGCUUUGUCCCUGGGAACCCGAUCUGUCAUUUCGGGGCCUCUUUGAUAAGUUUUGGGCACUCAAAAGGCUUUUAUGAACUUUUUCCAGUCUUACAGAUUCGUCCACGAACUUCUCCGAGCUGUAAAUCGGACCCAAAAUCAUGAGAAACGUUUCCAGAAUGUUCCCAGGCCAUAAACGUUGCAGUUGGGGCUUUUCGAGUGAUUUUUGGGUGUUUUUGAACAGAUUUCGUAAACUUUUCCAGUUUUACAGAUUGGCCCCUGAACUUUACUGAGCUGUGAAACAGCCCCAGAACAUGUCGGACAUUCUCAGAGUGAUCCCUGAGCUGUGAGCUCCGAGUUUUGGGGCCUCCCGGGUGAUUUUUGGGCAAUUUACACGCAUUUUUGGGCAUUUUUCCUAAUUUUACAGAUUUGCCCGAACAUUUCCAGAAUCAGUAGAUCAGCCCUCACUCAUUUCCAGCAUUUUCAAAUCAGCUCCUCGACAUAUUAAAUCGAAUUAAAUGCUAUGUUUGUGUGAUGGAAGAAAAUAAUUCGGCAAUUCACAUGCUCGGGUUUAUAUGAGUGAGUUCAUGACAAGUGAAUCAAGUGGAUUGUGAGCAAGACCACGACAUUAGGAUUAAUCAACUCGGAAAAGUAAUAAAAUGGGCACUUUAGACGAUUAGGGUACCGAUAAAAGCGGGUUAUUGGCUUGCGAGCUUCUAACCUGUAAUAGAAACCCCGAACUUGGAUCUUCUAGACCGAGGUCCGACAAAAACUUAGGUGGUUAGCGUCAUGCUCCGUUUAGGAAUUAUAGAAUUCUAGUUAGCCUAAAAUUAACUAGUGGCGGCUCCAUCAAUUACUCCACACCGAUUUUUGAAUGUCCCUCAUUCUAGUUGGUACCACAUGUCGACAGACGAGUAGGUGAAGUGCAAAUCAACUUGCAUGAUGGUAGUGAGAUGUUGUUGGUUGACUUUAGGCAUGUACCUAGAAUAAAGAAAAAUUCAAUCUUAUUGGAAACACUUGAGAAGUUGGGUUAUAAGCACAGGUGCCAAUGUGGAGUCGUAAGAAUCUCGAUGGACCCCCUCCCAGUGAUGAGGGGACUUUUGUAAAAGGAUUUGGAAGAUCUACAAGAAAGUUUGUCAAUUUCAAAGAUCGAGCCCAAAAAAAAGGUACUUGGAGUCACUUGGGUAUGGCAGUGACUUGCUUGUUGGUGAGCUGAAAAAUCACAAGUUGCACGCACAUGGGUGUUCAGAUGGGAAGGUCUGGGGGGAAGGCAGACAACAUUUUUACAGAAGUAUUCGCACACAGGAGACAGACAGGGAGCAUAUGAGACUUAUGGAAAUGCGGUGGGUUUGUGGAGUAGGUGGUCUCAUGAAAUGUUAAAGUUAGGAGUAUGACUUUUAAACAUGUUAGCUUUGGAGUGUCCACAAAGGGAAAGCCGAUGAAGUCUGAUACUUCGGACGAGUCCAAAGUUGGCUUGGACUUGAGUAAUAACAUAGAAUGAGGUGAAGCCCUUGAAAGGCUGUGAUAAAGCAAGUAAAUGGAGACCAAUGCAAUACUUGAUGGAAUAAUUGUUAAGGUGGGAAUUUAUUGAGGUGUGUCUCGUGUUCACCCAAAAGCCUAAAAGACCCCCAAAGACUUAGAAACAAGGACGAGAUCAACCAGAACGAGGAGGGGAGUUGGAAACAUGCUAGUGCCAUCGAAAAUGGCAGCACUACGGCAUCUUAGGCCAGAUUGUCGUGGCAAAAGGGCAACAGUGCUGCGAUAAUGAGAGGUCAUCAAGCUACUCUAAACGACCCCCUGUUUCCUUUCAUGACGCAAUUUUGCGGAGUCUCAUAAUAUAUUCAAAGGGUAUAUUUUCUAGAGAUAUUUUGGAUAUUUGAGGUGAGUCUACUAAGACAUAACACGCUUGUGAGUGUAGGAAUGACCGAUAAUUAAUUAUUUUUUAGUUUAAUUUGUUGAAGUCUCCUAAUUUGGUAGAGAGAGUGGUAAGAAUUAAAAGAACUAUGAGGCUUCUUAGGGUUGGGUCUUGUAAUGGGAGUUGAAAAACACGAGUGCGGUCUCGGGAUUAUAGUUUAUAAUUUAUCGAUUUAGUGGAAAUUCCAAAAUGGAUGUUUCUCCCGGUUAGGGGGUCUUAUCAAGUGUAUCUUGGUGUAGGUAUUCUUUCUUCUCUAUUUAAAUCCUAUAGCGACACUCGUCCCUAACGACUCACAAUUUUACCCCAUGCAUAUAGGUAUGUUUCUUUUUUUUGGUGGAUCAUAUAUAUAUAUGUUAAAUGUUACCAACAUAUGCAUAUGGUUAUUCUUC